CGACGCCGAGCUCAACGACGACUCCUACGACAACUGUAGCAGGAGAGCGCCUACAACCGUUGUGGCAGGAGUACCUCGGUGGAGUGAAGUUGAGGUCUGGGAGAUCCAUUUUCUCCUGAAGAUAUGAAUAUGUAAGAUGAAGUAGAAGUACAAGUAGAAGCACAAGGAAGACACUGGGUGGUGGAAUGAGGCAGGUAGGAGUCCUUUGUG